CAAAAUUGCUUUACUAAUAGGGGAAGAAAAAAAACUCGACCCAAAGCUACAAAAAUAAUAAUCAGGAACGUGUAGAACAAUUCGAAACAUUCAGAAGUAUUACAUGGAUAUUUUUUUAAAUUUUGAAACAAAUCCGUCUUCGGAACUAAUCUAAAUUUUAAACACAAUAACUUCUUAAAUCGGCAUCGCUGAAAUAGUUGCAGCAGAAGCCAACUUUGGGGAACAAGAAUUCAAUGUACUCCAGAGUCUCGUAAGUCUACGUCAGUUACUCCAAGAAAUCUGGGAAGAUCUGGGAAUGUCAGCGGGGCCUUGUACAGUGACAGUGGACGGGAGCAGUUCGUCGAUGACGAUGGAGGAAGAAGGCCCAACGACGAGUCGUAAACGGACUCGCAGUUGCACUUUAAAUGUCUCUGGAAACUUUCGAAAUCGCCGCCGUCCAAGCUCUGUUGGCGUUGCAGGGAUCGAUCAGCUUCCCUCCGUUGAGUGAGAUGGGCAUCGCUGAAAUACUCGCCGCAGAAGCCUUAUUACAGCUUCGGGGAAACGGAAUUCAGGUUCCACCAAAGAUUCGUA